rnacentral:rRNA from 1 species
AGCGAACGCUGGCGGCAGGCUUAACACAUGCCAGUCGAGCGGGCACUUUCGGGUGUCAGCGGCGGACGGGUGAGUAACGCGUGGGAACGUGCCCUCUGGUUCGGAAUAACUCAGGGAAACUUGAGCUAAUACCGGAUACGCCCUUUUGGGGAAAGGCUUGCUGCCGGAGGAUCGGCCCGCGUCUGAUUAGCUAGUUGGUGAGGUAACGGCUCACCAAGGCGACGAUCAGUAGCUGGUCUGAGAGGAUGAGCAGCCACACUGGGACUGAGACACGGCCCAGACUCCUACGGGAGGCAGCAGUGGGGAAUAUUGGACAAUGGGCGCAAGCAUGAUCCAGCCAUGCCGCGUGAGUGAUCAAGGCCUUAGGGUUGUAAAGCUCUUUUAUCCGGGACGAUAAUGACGGUACCGGAGGAAUAAGCCCCGGCUAACUUCGUG